rnacentral:rRNA from 1 species
AUUGAACGCUGGCGGCAGGCCUAACACAUGCAAGUCGAGCGGAUGAAGGGAGCUUGCUCCUGGAUUCAGCGGCGGACGGGUGAGUAAUGCCUAGGAAUCUGCCUGGUAGUGGGGGAUAACGUCCGGAAACGGGCGCUAAUACCGCAUACGUCCUGAGGGAGAAAGUGGGGGAUCUUCGGACCUCACGCUAUCAGAUGAGCCUAGGUCGGAUUAGCUAGUUGGUGGGGUAAAGGCCUACCAAGGCGACGAUCCGUAACUGGUCUGAGAGGAUGAUCAGUCACACUGGAACUGAGACACGGUCCAGACUCCUACGGGCGGCAGAAGUGGGGAAUAUUGGAAAAUGGGCGAAAGCCUGAUCCAGCCAUGCAGGGUGUGUGAAGAAGGUCUUCGGAUUGUAAAGCACUUUAAGUUGGGAGGAAGGGCAGUAAGUUAAUACCUUGCUGUUUUGACGUUACCAACAGAAUAAGCACCGGCUAACUUCGUG